CCUACGGGAGUCAGCAGUGGGGAAUAUUGGGCAAUGGGCGCAAGCCUGACCCAGCAACGCCGCGUGAAGGAUGAAGGCUUUCGGGUUGUAAACUUCUUUUCUCAUGGACGAACAAAGUGACGGUACCUGAGGAAUAAGCCACUGCUAACUUCUUUCCAGCAGCCGCGGUAAUACGUAGGUGGCAAUCGUUAGCCGGAGUUACUCGGUGUAAAGGGCGUGUAGGCGUGUAAGCAAGGCAUAUGUGAAAACGACGGGCUCAAACUGUAGCCUGCAUUUGAAACUGUGUUUGGUGAGUACAGGAGAGGAGGACGGAAGUGCUAGUGUAGCGGUGAAAUGCGGAGAUAUUAGGAGGAACACCAGUGGCGAAGGCGGUCUGCUGGACAGCAACUGACGCUGAGGCGCGAAAGCGUGGGGAGCAAACAGGAUUAGAUACCCCAGUAGUC
rnacentral:rRNA from 1 species